rnacentral:tRNA from 1 species
GCUAAAAUAGCAAAGCCGUGAAAUGCUUAAGACUUAGGUUCUUACAAGCGGGGGCUCAAAUCCCCCUUUUAGCU